CUUAAGUGACCUUCGAGCGACUGCACCGGAAGAAGUGCACCCAGUAUGCUUAAUGACUAUCAUGGCUGCGCAGACGGAGCAGCCUCUUCUAGUCCUUCACACCUAUGUGCUCUAGCCUCUCCCCAAGGCUGCAGGAGACUGAGAAGAAUACAUACCACUGGUUCAGAAGGGUGACUAGAUAUUCAGAGUAAUGUGACCCAUCCUGAUUGUCACAGAUAUAGAAGGUUUUGAGGCACAAGGGCACAAAGGGACUUUCAACUUUUCCAAGAGCUCUCCUCCACAGCCUCUUAAUGACCCCUCUGUCCACCUGCACUCACAUACUGCUGCUGACGGAUACUGAAGUGAACUUCCUAAGGAACUCUGCUCACACACCAAUUUAGAAAUCUCCAGGGAUUCUCGUUAAUGUCAAGAUUAAAUGCAUGUCCUCAACAGAAUGCAGUCGCGUAGGACAUCUUGAACCCUGAGACCCUGCCCUCCUGCCUUUUCAAUGUUGGUACCCAGCAGUCCUCCACAGCCACAUGUUUUACUCAGAUGUGGACAUCACUGCUUUGCACGGUAUAUCACAGCAGUCCCUCGUCAGUUCUAUGGCAACACACCAGGCCAUGGGGCAACUGCCGGACCCCGAAGUCUUUACUCACAGCUGACCUAGUAAGAGUCAGGAUACCACAGUUGCUAUGGAAACUGCUAACACUGCUCUGGAUACCGGGGAUGAAAUGCCUGCCUUGGAAGAAGUCAGAGUUGACACAGGACUUCCCGCACCUUGGGGCUCAUUAAGCUCACCCAGUGGUUUUGCUGGGAAUGGAGAUUCCUGAGUGCCAUUCCUAGACAUCGGGCUCCAGGAAGCAUGGACUUGCUAGACAAGGUUCCUAUCCCAUUUCAUUCCAAUCCUGAAGACCACGAAACCAUUUUGGAUCUGAAGCACUGACAAUUUUCCCUCUGAUCGGACGCAAUGAUGCCAGAGGAAGAAGUUGAAUUCUGUGAGCGACGAGACACCAGGUUCUUAGUUAAAUGCACCUGAAAUGUGUUUCCAGUUUCACCCUAAAUUGGUUUUAAACAGGUCAGUGAAGAUGAUAAGCAUUACCGAGCCAGAGGGAAGUAACAGAAGUUUUAUGAAGGCAGAAAAACCCUAGGAGAAGUAGAAAGAGAUUCGUCUUUAUAAACAACCGAAAUAGACGGUGUCAUUAUUAUGAAAAAAAGCUCACUGUAUCCUUGAGAUAAUUUCAAAUAUACCUUCAUGACUAUAAAAAAAAAUCUACCUACUUACUUACCAGAAAGCUAUUUUAAUUCAAAGUGUAAUGACUGACAAACAUCCGACGAGUCAAAUAAAGUAACAGUCGAUUCUACUUCCCGGACUAUUUAUAGUUCUGAGGAAAUUUAUCAAGACUAAGCAAUGUUAAGAAACUAUUGUGUGAGAGUGGGUGAGCUUUACUCCUAAAUGAGAGUGGAUGGCCCUGCCACUGAAUACUGUACGACCGCUUGGGUGGAAUCAACCUCAAGGUCCGUGGGACAGGCGAGUCCCAUUAUAACGUCUAAAUAGGUGGAAAAUAAUUCAUAUGACAUAAGACCCCCAGGGAUCGCUUUUCCUCUCUUAAUACAGAAAAUGUACUAGGAUUCUUGUCGUAGCAUAGGUCCCCAGUCUCUCCACCAAUGGUUGCAGACGGAUUGUUCACCCGUGUCUUUUCCUGGACUAUGCAGUUAGGCACAGAGAUUUGUGAGGACUCCUAGAACCAGUUCCCUGGGAAUAACGAAGGGAUUAUAAUCACACAUUGGGCAGGUUUUUCAAUCUCAUUGAUAAUUGAUAGAACCCAUCUUAAAUAAUAACAAGGUGCCGUUGCCAUUGCAGGACCACCAUAGACAGGCACCAACGCGUGCUUUCCAUGUCUUUAUACCACCCAGUCUCUCAUGCGUGGCACACUUGUAGGUAUCAAUGACGGAAAAAUGAGGAACCCCAUAUUUCCCCUGACAACCUCAAAGUCUAGGUGACAGACAAGCACGUAGACAAUUAUCACAAAUCAAGGUAGCGAAUGGUCUGUGUCCUUCAUGCUCUCCUACUCAUAUGCAUGUACGAGGCAAUGAACACAGGAGAAGCUAUUUACCGUGCCUGGAAGAAGAAGGAGAAGGAAUUUGAGGAAAUUACCUGGGAAUAGUAAUUUAAGGAAGUUACAGCAGAUGUGUGCAUGGCAUUACCAGGUACGUGGCAUGAAAUAGAGAAAGAGCAUGGCUACUCUUCACCUUUGAACACUAAGAAGUUAAACCCUGCACUUGUGAUGCCAAUUCCUUGAUCUGAGGGAGACAGGUGUUCCUAAAUCCUGAGAGGAUAGCCCAUGGCGCAUCAGCAUCCCUUAAGAACUAGGUAAAACCUAGCGUGCUUGGUUUCCUACCAUCUUGAAGAUACAUUGGCAAUAGUACUAUAAAUUUCUGUUUUUAAAUUUUUAUUUAUUUAUUUUUUUACAGU
rnacentral:sRNA from 1 species